AGGCUGGCGGUUUGCUUAACUCAUGCAAGUAGCACGAGUUUGGCUGUAUUCGUUUGGCCGACUAUUGUAGGGCACGGGUGAGAAACGCGUAGGCAACCUACCCUUGUAUUAAGGAUAACCCCGCGAAAGCGGGGCUAAUACCGGAUACGAUCCCACGAUGGUGGUUGUGGGAUGAAAGUCACCCACUCGGAGAAGCUGACCUACGAGGAUGGCCCUGCGUCCUAUCAGCAAGUUGGUGGGGUAGCGGCCAUCCAAGGCGAGGACGGGUAGGUGGUCUGAGACGAUGAUCAGCCACACUGGGGCUGGAACACGGGCCAGACACCUACGUGAGGCAGCAGUGAGGAAUUUUCGGCAAUGGCCGCAAGGCUGACGCAGCAACGGCGCGUGGGUCAUGAAGGCCUUCGGGUCGUUUAGCCCUGUCAGGUGGGAAGAAAGGCUUGAUUGGGAAUAUCGGUUGAGUUUGACGGUACGUCCAGAGGAAGCACGGGCUUACUCCGUGCCA
rnacentral:rRNA from 1 species